rnacentral:lncRNA from 1 species
CAGACCUCGCGGGAGCGCAGGGUGAAGAGACAGACAGCCUGAGGGAGAUAGGGAAGAUGGAAAAGGAGAGGACAGUCCCCGUGCAAGACAGGUCCUCUUCCCCCAUUCAGCAUCUCUGCAAUGAAGUUUAACUUCCUAAGCAUCAUGAACUUCUUAAGCAUCUUGAGAGCUGGAGGCAGAGAUCUCCACAGUCCUAGGACUGGCAGUUCAAGACGCAAGGGCUCUGGGUCCUCGAAUUGCCAUGUGGAGGAAUGCUGACUGCCUACCAGAAACAUUCACAUUGAAUUUUUAGAGAAAAGUAAGAGGCAGAGAUCCUGAAAGCUGAGGCCAACGGGUACCUGCAUGUAUUUCUGCAGAUUGAUUCCAACGGGAUGGACGUUCAUCAAUUGCCUGAGGAAGAAUUGAUUUUUCAGUUUAGUCCUUAUCAUUCACAGAGGAAAGAAUAUGAAGAUUUUUGCCUUUAGAAGAUGAAAGAUCAUGAAGAGAAUGUGAAAUGAAUGGAUGCUCAUUUUUAAUAUGAUACCCUUUCUGAAAAAUCAAUAUGGCUAAAAUAUAUUUGCAGUAAUUUUAGGGGGUGUCUUCUUUUAUAUCUAGCAAAUCUAAAUCAGAGAGAAAAUAUUUGUUAACUUUAUUUAAAUUGAAAAACAAAAAACCAAUAAAGUUCUCUCCAAGAGAGAAAAACGUGAAGC